AAUGGAAUGCCUGAAAAAGGCUUAUCGUGAUAGGAUAAAUAAUGUAAGAAAUUACUUUCAUUA
rnacentral:tRNA from 1 species